CUAGGGAGAUGUGUAUUUCGGAAUUUGUCGUCUUAAAACCCUGGCUUUAGAGGAUAAUGAUUGCGAAACAACAAGAUAAGUGUUUUUUUGUAUUCGUAGUAUGCAUACUUUAAUAUGGUUUUACCCCUAGUGUCAUGAAGCUAGCCACACCUUGAAAGGCUACCUGAAUCUAUUCAGUGAAUUGAUGGAAGAUGGAAAGCCGCAUGUGCAUUACACUCUGGAAGCUGUAACAUUGAUGAAAAGGAACUGUUUAAGGGCUUCAUGUGUGGGGAAAGCUUUAAAAAUUAUGAUAAAUUCAUGCUUCAGGUUACAGGAAAGAUGUACCUCAAUACGUAACACUCUUCGAAGAAGCCUGCCUGCGCCAACUACUACUUCAAAACAUUAUAAAUUCUGGCCACAUAAAUCUAACACCCGUUCGGAAAGCUUCAGUUGCAGUGAUUUUGAAACCUGGAUGUCGUCUUACUGACUUGAUUCAAAGGGGUCGGUGUGAACUGGGUGAGUUAAAGUAAAAGUAAUUUUGAGUGGGCACACCGGUAAUUACGAC